rnacentral:lncRNA from 1 species
AUGACGUCAGGCAGUAGCGGACCGGGGAGGUUGUCCAGGCCUGAGCUGUCCGGCUCUGUGGACUCUGAGUCCUCACUUCCACUUGAAAAGCUUGGUAGCGCGCAGGGCACCAGAUCUGGGAAAGUUUUAAGAAAGAACACAACUGCAGCGAAGGACGACAAAAUGCUCCCCUCCGCCUCCGCUCAAACACGUGACAUCAACUUUGACAGUGGUGAUGACUCCACAGAUACCCCCCAUGUCUCUGAACCGAGGAAAGGUGACCGGUCACAAACGGUGAAGAAUCUCCUCCAAAAGGCCAAGAUGAGAGAGCGGUCUCAAGAUAAGAAACUCCAGAAAGUGAUAAAGGAGAGGGAUGCUCUUCGCAAACAACUGGCAUACCUGUCGAAAGCUCUCAGAGAAGAACAAUCUUCAGAGGAAGACACUGCCUCCUGCUCAUCAUUGUCUUCAAUGAGCCGGUCCUCCUCCUGUUCUUCCUCCUCCUCCUCAGAUGAGAAGAUGAAACGAAAGGGCAAGGGAAAACUCAGACUUUCAAAGACAAAGAACAAAAUAAAGAAGGCCAGGAAGCAACACAAAGUGACUGAUGUCCGCAAAAGAGCCCGUGGCCCUUUUGAAGUGAUAAGAAGAUACAAGAAGGUCCUGAAAGCAUACAAUCGGGGCUUGAAAUUGUCGGCUUCCUGUGCAUACGCAGGGGUGAACGAACUCACAGUCAGGUCCACGGCAAGCAUUGCAGAGCUGGCAACAGCGUCACCUGCCAAGUUCACAAAGCUCCUUGAUAAAACAAAACAGGCAAAGCUGAAAGAUAUAGCAAAUUUAUGCGAAAACUACAUUAAAGGUGAUGCUCAGGUUCAGACAAAAAUAGAUGACUUAAAAAGUCAAUGCAAAUUAAUCCCGUAUGCGAAGAGAGCAUAAUUAUAAUUUUUUUACCCGUUCGUGUUGUUUUUUUUCAAGUGUGGUUAAGAAAUAUUGCCUGUCUAUCACUCUGUCUUUCCCUCACUUUCUUGUGCUCUGUCUCACUGUCUUUCUCUCUUUUCCUCACGCUCUGGUUGAACCCCUCUCUCUUUCUCUGUUUAUUUGAUAUACCAUUUUAUACAUUCUGUUGGCAUUCUAGUUUGAUCCUCUUUUUUGAUCAGUUUAAUGAUCAGUGUUCCAGUAGACCAUCUGGUCAACCAUCAGUGGUCAGUGUUCCAGUAGACCAUCUGGUUAACCAUCAGUGGUCAGUGUUCCAGUAGACCAUCAGGUUAACCAUCAGUGGUCAGUGUUCCAGUAGACCAUCAGGUUAACCAUCAGUGGUCAGUGUUCCAGUAGAAAACAAAAAGCUAUUGGAGAGUUCUUUGAGAGUUCUUUGUAAGAGAGUUAUAAAUAAAGUAUUUUCAUCCCCCUUCCCAACAGUGUGUGCUGAGAUCAUUCAUUUCCAGUGUGAGAGUUAAAAUAUUUGCUAUCGUUAAUAAAUGUUAGAAUAAAUAUUUGUUAAUAAUUAAUAAUUACUGUUCCAACUUUAUUAUAAGGGUCUCCAAUACUGAUAGUUAUAUAUUACAUAUAUAUUAAUUAAG